AGUGAACGCUGGCGGUAGGCCUAACACAUGCAAGUCGAACGACAGCACAGGAGAGCUUGCUCUCUAGGUGGCGAGUGGCGGACGGGUGAGGAAUACAUCGGAAUCUGCCCAGUCGUGGGGGAUAACGUAGGGAAACUUACGCUAAUACCGCAUACGACCUUCGGGUGAAAGAGGGGGAUCGCAAGACCUCUCGCGAUUGGAUGAGCCGAUGUCGGAUUAGCUAGUUAGCGGGGUAAUGGCCCACCAAGGCGACGAUCCGUAGCUGGUCUGAGAGGAUGAUCAGCCACACUGGAACUGAGACACGGUCCAGACUCCUACGGGAGGCAGCAGUGGGGAAUAUUGGACAAUGGGCGCAAGCCUGAUCCAGCCAUACCGCGUGGGUGAAGAAGGCCUUCGGGUUGUAAAGCCCUUUUGUUGGGAAAGAAAUCUUUCAGGCUAAUACCCUGGGAGGAUGACGGUACCCAAAGAAUAAGCACCGGCUAACUUCGUG
rnacentral:rRNA from 1 species